rnacentral:lncRNA from 1 species
UGGGCUCUCCUGCUGGGCAGCUAUUUGUGCGAUGGGAUCUCUCCUGAGUAAGUGAUGGCUCUUGAAUUUAUGCCUGUUGCAGAAAAUCGAAAAUCCUUUGUGCUUUGGUGCUGUGUGAUGCUCUUGCUGAUACAGAUCUUUGAGAUGGAAGAAUAAGAAUUCAACAGGAAACAGCAGAACUGUGUUACAUGUGGAGGUCUCACACUUCAUAUUGUAUCAACAGAAGAAAUUGAAAAACAGCCCAUAGAACAACAGUGACCUUCUUUCUUACCAACCAUAAAAGCUAUAAUUGCCUGUAGUGGUUGAGAAGAACAGGGCAUGAUCUGUGUGCACUGCUGCUUUCAGCUGUGGUGGAAGCCAUUCACUGUAUCUUCUCAGUGAGAACUUUGGAACUUCUAGAAAAGAACAAAGGGGGAAAGAAGAAAGGAUGCUCACCACACUGUUUUGUGAAUGAAUAUUGUCAUCUCAGUAGUUCAGUGCUAGCUCUCUUGACAUUAGGAAACAAAUGUAUUUGAAAGUGGUGCUUGUUGCUUAUUACAAUACUAGGAAGAAUAACUGCAACAUUUUAACAAAUAGGUUGAAAAGGUGAACUCUGAAGGGAGAUGAAGGGUUUUUUUGGUAAUUUGGAAGAAUUGUGGUAGUGGGGUAGCAAUACAGGCUGUCUGUUUUUCUUUGUGGUUCUCCUUCUUCAGGCAAGAGGUAGAUAAGGCCUGUCUCUGAGAAAAUAAUGCACAGUAGAUGCUAAAUGCUAUAGAAAAGGCAAUGUGAGGGAUAUCAAAGGAUAUAAUCACCUGUAGGAUAUUUAAACAAGCUUUCUGAAGAAACUAGAUAUUUACCUGUGGAGAAUGCUUUUGGAGGUGAGAGUAAGCAGCUGAACAAGCGGUCUUAGUUGUCUGAGAUCCUAUAUCUUAGGUUCUGCCUAACAGUGUUUAUAGUAGCUUAGUAAGCAGGAUCCCUCUUUUUGAGAUGGUGAGGGACAGUUUUAACUGCCAGGUGCAACUUGUUGAGAGGAAGUCUAUGGUGAGCACACUUGGCUUUGUAAUGGUGACAGUUUGUCUGAUCUUGGUGUUUUCUGUUUAUUUCUUUUAAAGUGAUGUUUCAGGGAGCUUUGAAGAGCUAAAUAGAACUGCCCUUAUUACAGUUGCAGUACCUGCUUUUACAGAGAUUUAUAGACACUUGUGUCAGACUUAUCCUUUGAUUUUCUUCAGCAUAUACUGUUGCACAUUUGCAUGCAUUUGAAAUACCCACUACACAUAACAUAUUUGUCUAUCUCUUUAGUUCCUUACUAACUCUCUCCUAGCAGAGUUAUUAUUCUCUAGGAUAUUCUAAACGGUGUAUUUAAAUGAAAAGUAGUAAUCCCAACUGGCAGACUUUUGAAGAGAGGGAUUGAAACGUGGAAACAGAGAUACUCAUAUUGUCUGGGUCAAACUUUAUACUGUUAAUAUAUUUGCUUAUUUUUAGGCUAGUUGUGCUGAUUGUACAUUGGCCAAAUCAUUGUGUAAAAUUGUCUUUUAGCUAGGUUUUGCAAUCUGGUUGCAGUCAUAAAAACACAGACAAAGUAACAGUGUCUUGAGUAUACAGUGUGUUCUCAACAGCUCUGGGAGAUUUUUUGUUAUUAAUCAGUCUUUGUCUCUUCAUUCAGUGAACUAUAUUUUCAGCUGUACUUGCCCACAGAAUGCCUCUUUGCAACCAUCAUUCUAGAAAGUACAAGUCAAAGUUCAUAGAAUUCUUUUGCUUGUAGAUUUGUACGAUGUAUUAAUUUCAUUUUCCACUUAUAUCCAGACUCUGUUCUUUGUUGAAAAAUCAGCCCUGUAGGUCCAUCCUCACUGCUGAUUAUGGAUAAAAAUAAGGAUUGCCUAGUAGAGAAGUAUUUUACAGGAAACUAUAGGAAUAUGUAAUGGAUAAUAAUAAUAAUAAUAAUGGAUAGUAAUAACUUCCUCACUGUUCUCAAAUGCAUUCAAAAACUGAGUAUUUUUUCCUCUGCAAGUAAUACAAGAAUUCAAAACAGUUCAAUUCUUUUAAAAUAAUAUCUAGAACUGUUAGGUCAUGCUUCUUUAAGAGUAUUCUGCCCUCAGAUUAAAAAACAAAAACAACC